rnacentral:rRNA from 2 species
GACGAACGCUGGCGGCGUGCUUAACACAUGCAAGUCGAACGGAAAGGCCCUUCGGGGUACUCGAGUGGCGAACGGGUGAGUAACACGUGGGUGAUCUGCCCUGCACUCUGGGAUAAGCCUGGGAAACUGGGUCUAAUACCGGAUAGGACCACACACUUCAUGGUGAGUGGUGCAAAGCUUUUGCGGUGUGGGAUGAGCCCGCGGCCUAUCAGCUUGUUGGUGGGGUAAUGGCCCACCAAGGCGACGACGGGUAGCCGGCCUGAGAGGGUGACCGGCCACACUGGGACUGAGAUACGGCCCAGACUCCUACGGGAGGCAGCAGUGGGGAAUAUUGCACAAUGGGCGCAAGCCUGAUGCAGCGACGCCGCGUGAGGGAUGACGGCCUUCGGGUUGUAAACCUCUUUCAGUAGGGACGAAGCGAAAGUGACGGUACCUACAGAAGAAGGACCGGCCAACUACGUGCCAGCAGCCGCGGUAAUACGUAGGGUCCGAGCGUUGUCCGGAAUUACUGGGCGUAAAGAGCUCGUAGGUGGUUUGUCGCGUUGUUCGUGAAAACUCACAGCUUAACUGUGGGCGUGCGGGCGAUACGGGCAGACUAGAGUACUGCAGGGGAGACUGGAAUUCCUGGUGUAGCGGUGGAAUGCGCAGAUAUCAGGAGGAACACCGGUGGCGAAGGCGGGUCUCUGGGCAGUAACUGACGCUGAGGAGCGAAAGCGUGGGUAGCGAACAGGAUUAGAUACCCUGGUAGUCCACGCCGUAAACGGUGGGUACUAGGUGUGGGUUUCCUUCCUUGGGAUCCGUGCCGUAGCUAACGCAUUAAGUACCCCGCCUGGGGAGUACGGUCGCAAGACUAAAACUCAAAGGAAUUGACGGGGGCCCGCACAAGCGGCGGAGCAUGUGGAUUAAUUCGAUGCAACGCGAAGAACCUUACCUGGGUUUGACAUGCACAGGACGUACCUAGAGAUAGGUAUUCCCUUGUGGCCUGUGUGCAGGUGGUGCAUGGCUGUCGUCAGCUCGUGUCGUGAGAUGUUGGGUUAAGUCCCGCAACGAGCGCAACCCUUGUCCUAUGUUGCCAGCGGGUAAUGCCGGGGACUCGUAGGAGACUGCCGGGGUCAACUCGGAGGAAGGUGGGGAUGACGUCAAGUCAUCAUGCCCCUUAUGUCCAGGGCUUCACACAUGCUACAAUGGCCAGUACAGAGGGCUGCGAAGCCGCAAGGUGGAGCGAAUCCCUUAAAGCUGGUCUCAGUUCGGAUUGGGGUCUGCAACUCGACCCCAUGAAGUCGGAGUCGCUAGUAAUCGCAGAUCAGCAACGCUGCGGUGAAUACGUUCCCGGGCCU